CCUCCAACCCUUGACAGUGUCUACAAUAUGGUCCUCAAUGAUGAGAAACAGAGACAAGUCCAUUCCCCUACUCAGUUUAAUCCAGACUCUAUGUCUUUCAAUGUCCACACAGAUAGACAUUCAGUUGGAUUCAAUAAGGUCACAGUGCCUAAUCCUUCUGCUUUCAGACAAAGAGUUAAUUUAGACCAAGCUAGAGGCUCUUUAUUCUGUAGAUACUGCAAAAAAUCUGGGCACUUAAUUGAUAAG
rnacentral:lncRNA from 1 species